rnacentral:rRNA from 1 species
GGGGGGGGGUGGGGGGGGGGGGGGGGCGUGCGGGGCGGGGGGGGCGGCGUAGGAGGCUUGUUGGGUAAGAGGCUAAGCGGCUUAGUGGCGAAGGGGUGAGUAACGCGUGAGUGACCUGCCUUACACAAGGGGCUAGCCUUUGGCCACGCAGAAUAAUACCUUAUACAACCAUAACAGCACACGCUAGCACGGUCAAAAUGAUAGCGGUGUCAGAUGGACUUGCGUAUGAUUAGAGAGUGUGUGAGAUAACAGCUCCCUAAGUCAACGCACAUGAGCCGGCUUGAGAGAGGGUACGGCAACAUUGGGACUGAGACACGGCCCAGACUCCUACGGGAGGCAGCAGUGGGGAAUUUUGCACAAUGGGGGAAACCCUGAUGCAGCGACGCCGCGUGAUUUAGAAGGCCUUCGGGUUGUAAAAAUCUUUUGUAUAGGAAGAAAAUGACAGUACUAUACGAAUAAGGUCCGGCUAAUUACGUG